UUCUGUCUGUGAGAGCGUCAAUGCAGUCAGCACAGGAGAUCUUUCUUGUCACCAUCUUGACAACGUACCCCGCGAUGUACCCCACAACAUCUUCAACAAAGUACCAAAAUAGCGUGAUGCGUGAAUCUCAAGUUCGUCAAGGGAAGUAGCUGCUGCUGCUGCUGCGGCUGUCACACCAUGAAGUGUCCUGCCGUUGGAUUGUUGCACCACCCACCUUUACCCCUCAACGCACAGAAGAAAAGUUCGAGGUGGUCUUGAGAGAGUUUGUAUGUCAGCAGAUAUCUUAACAGUGCAUGAUCUCCCGAAAGAAGAUGGCUGCAUAGGCUUUGAAUGCUUGCCAUGUUGAUCAGGAACCCAAGGAAGCCUGUUUUUCGUGGGGAUUCUAAUAUUGGCUUUCCAGAUGCAUCUUUCAGGUUGCCAAUAUAUGCAGUCAUCUCGUUGAAGAAUGGAAUCCAAAGGUGGCGGGUUGGAUACCGGAUGGGUGCUUUGAAGUUCUUUGCCAGGGGAUUGCGGGAGUUCAUGAUGUCGAACAGACGAUCGAACUUCCUGAGGAAUUCCACUGUUGCCUCACAUCCACGAAACAUUGUAUUGUUUAUGUCCCUGUCACAGAACUCCAGAGCAUCCGCAACACUUGAGCUGAUUGUCUGAGCUGCCAAAUUCACCUUCAUCUUCUGACUUCCCCAGUCAAUGGUCCCCAUUGUUGCCAGGGCAUUACGAAUGAGCUUCAGCAUGUGGCAAGCAUCGAGGAUUACGUGAGCUCUCCAGGAAGAAUCAGAAGGGUGCUGAAACCAUGGCCUGAUGUCAGGGCUUUUCAUGUUUGCACCAAGGUCUUGAAACAUGGUGAGGUUAGAGCCCAGGCCAUCACUCACAACUGCAGCUAUUAGAAUUCCAAUGUCAUGUAGCUUUUGAAGGCAGAGGCUCACAAGGUUUGCCUUUUCCUCCCCACUUAGGCUGUUGAUGAGAAAGUAUGCACAUGGCACUUUCCAGUUACUGUCCAAAGCAACCACAAGGAAUACAAGAGCU